GUUUCUAUGGUGUAAAAUAGCACAUUAGGUUUUCAUCCUAAAGGGAUAAAUUAUUUUAUUAGAAAUA
rnacentral:tRNA from 1 species